CCGAUUGCGAAGGCAGCCAACAAGGCCUUUACUGACGCUAAAGCUCGAAGGUGCGGGUAUCGAACAGGAUUAGAUACCCUGGUAGUCCGCACGGUAAACGAUGGAUGCCCGCUGUUUGCGAUAUACUGUGAGCGGCCAAGAGAAAUCGUUAAGCAUCCCACCUGGGGAGUACGCCGGGCAACGGUGAAACUCAAAGGAAUUGACGGGGGCCCGCACAAGCGGAGGAACAUGUGGUUUAAUUCGAUGAUACGCGAGGAACCUUACCCGGGCUUGAACUGCCAGCGAACGAUUCAGAGAUGAUGAGGCCCUUCGGGGCGCUGGUGGAGGUGCUGCAUGGUUGUCGUCAGCUCGUGCCGUGAGGUGUCGGCUUAAGUGCCAUAACGAGCGCAACCCUUUUCUUUAGUUGCCAUCAGGUAAUGCUGGGCACUCUGGAGAUACUGCCACCGUAAGGUGUGAGGAAGGUGGGGAUGACGUCAAAUCAGCACGGCCCUUACGUCCGGGGCUACACACGUGUUACAAUGGGGGGUACAGAGAGUCGGAUAUACGCAAGUAUGUUCUAAUCCUUAAAGCCUUCCUCAGUUCGGAUUGGGGUCUGCAACCCGACCCCAUGAAGCUGGAUUCGCUAGUAAUCGCGCAUCAGCCAUGGCGCGGUGAAUACGUUCCCGGGCCUUGUACACACCGCCCGUCAAGCCAUGAAAGCCGGGGGCGCUUGAAGUCCGUGACCGCAAGGAUCGGCCUAGAGCGAAACUGGUAAUUGGGGCUAAGUCGUAACAAGGUAGCCGUA
rnacentral:rRNA from 1 species